AAGAGAAUUUCCAACAGGUUGGCUUUAAGAGAAAGCUAAUUCUAACAAAACAUCACCUUUAAUUAAUUAAUUAAUUUUUAUUUUAAUGAAAAAGCAUAUACUAUAAAUUGAAACUGAGGCUAAUUAAUUAGAGUGUGCAGCAAAUUCUUUGAGCAUAUAUGGCAAAGGAUCAAGUGGCCAUACCCACCUUGAAGGUAUUAAACCUUAAUUAAUUAAUUAGUCAAGCUUCUUUGGUUUUAAUUUGAUCCACUUUCAAUGUAUAUAUAUAUACAAUAUAUUAAUAAUGAUUAAAAUCAAAAAACUAAUUAAGUUUCAAUAUUAUUUUUGUCUAUGUUGAGAAGGUUGAAUUGAAGGUCUUCAUCCAUUGUUGUGAUGGGUGCAGAAGGAAGAUUAAAAAGGUUCUUAGGAGUAUUGAAGGUGUAUUUGGAAUAGAAAUUGACCCAAUGAUGCCAAAAGUGAUAGUCACAGGAAAUGUUGAUCCACAAAUCUUAAUAAAAAAGCUUUGCAAAGCUGGAAAACAAGCACAAGUAACAAAGAGUGAGAAAGUCAAAGACUUUGAUGAUGAUGAUGAUGAAAACAAAACUAGCAAUAUUAAUAGUAAUACUAAAAAUAAUGAAAACAGUGUUCCUAAUUCAAGUGAGACUACUACUAAAAGUGUUGUUGUUCCCACUUCUUCUAUCCACAAAACACAAGCCAUGCCUAUUAAUAUGCCUAAUUUGGUUAUAGAUUCAUCUAAUGAGGUUAGAAAACAUAAUAUGAUCAUUCCUAGCAGAAUGGCCCUACUCUGCCAAUGGCCCUAGCAGAAUUAAAAAUCAGUUCAAAGAAUGGUUCAAACCAGUUCAAAUAUCUGAGCAAUUAGCUCACAAUCUUCCCUCCAAAAAGUGGCAAAACCACCUUAGCAUUUUACCCCACUUUCAGCAAAAGACAAUUAUGCUAAGAUUCCCUACAGAACCCAUGUGCAAGUGUACCCCACAAGCACGACAACUUGCUAAGAUUCCCUAAAUUUUUUAACUUUAUUAAAUAGCAACUAAUAGACCACACCUACUUUUAUUCUUGAUCAACUAACUCACCACCAACCAAAAAUAUCAUAUAAAAGGGGUCAUUAUUCUCUAAGAAAAACCUAGAAAUCAAAAGUAGGAGGAGUUGAGAUGAACACUUACUGUAAUCAGGAGCUGCAUCAUCCUUGUUCCUCAUUCGAAAAGCCAUUGCAACCCCCUUCCACCCAGUUUGAAGCCCUCACUCUCUCUUCCUCUCCUCUUCGUCUCCGAGUCGUCUUGGUCUUCUUCUUAGUUUCAGUCUUCUUCUGGUGCGAACGUCUCCUUCUUGUUCUUCUGUUCUCCCCAAACUUCUUCUUCGUAUCCCUCUUCUUUUGAUUUCUGAUUCGUCUUCGUCUUCGUCUCCUUCUUCUUCCUUUUUCUUUUUGAUUUUUGAUUUUGAUUUUCACAGGUACUGUUUUGUUUUAUUUUUAAGCUUUGUUGGAUGUUUGUUUUAAUUUUAAGUUUAGUUUAUGUAAUUAUUUUUUUUUUCAGAUAAAAGAUUUAUUAAAUUUCA